GCCCCCUUGGCGCAGCGGCAGCGCGUUCCGCUCGUAACGGAAAGGUCGGUGGUUCAAAUCCGCCAGGAGGCA